rnacentral:rRNA from 1 species
GUUUCAGCAGCCGCGGUAAUACAUAGGGUGCAAGCGUUGUCCGGAUUUAUUGGGCGUAAAGAACUCGUAGGUGGUUUGUUACGUCGGAUGUGAAACUCUGGGGCUCAACCCCAGACCUGCAUCCGAUACGGGCAGACUAGAGUGUGGUAGGGGAGACUGGAAUUCCUGGUGUAGCGGUGGAAUGCGCAGAUAUCAGGAGGAACACCAAUGGCGAAGGCAGGUCUCUGGGCCAUUACUGACACUGAGGAGUGAAAGUGUGGGGAGCGAACAGGAUUAGAUACCCUGGUAGUCCACACCGUAAACGAUGGACGCUAGUUGUGGGGACCUUCCACGGUUUCUGCGACGCAGCUAACGCAUUAAGCGUCCCGCCUGGGGAGUACGAUCGCAAGAUUAAAACUCAAAGGAAUUGACUGGGCCCCGCACAAGCAGCGGAGCAUGCGGCUUAAUUCGACGCAACGCGAAGAACCUUACCAAGGCUUGACAUAUAGGGAAAAGCAGCAGAGAUGUUGUGUCCGCAAGGGCCCUAUACAGGUGGUGCAUGGUUGUCGUCAGCUCGUGUCGUGAGAUGUUGGGUUAAGUCCCGCAACAAGCGCAACCCUCAUUCUGUGUUGCCAGCAUUUAGUUGGGGACUCACAGGAGACUGCCGUGGUUAACACGGAGGAAGGUGGGGAUGACGUCAAAUCAUCAUGCCCCUUAUGUCUUGGGCUGCACGCAUGCUACAAUGGCUGGUACAAACGGCUGCAAUACCGCAAGGUUGAGCGAAUCCGAAAAAGCCAGUCUCAGUUCGGAUUGGGGUCUGCAACUCGACCCCAUGAAGUCGGAGUUGCUAGUAAUCGUAGAUCAGCAACGCUACGGUGAAUACGUUCCCGGGGCUUGUACACACCGCCCGUCAAAC